AUUGAACGCUGGCGGCAGGCCUAACACAUGCAAGUCGAGCGAGCGGCGGACGGGUGAGGAAGGUAUGGGGACUGCCCGAUAGAGGGGGAUAACUACGGGAAACGGUGGAGAAUACCGCAUACGGUCGGAUAACCCAUAUGGGAUUAGGUAGUAGGUAAGGUAAUGGCUUACUUAGGCGACUAUCCCUAGCUGGUCUGAGAGGAUGAUCAGCCACACUGGGACUGAGACACGGCCCAGACUCCUACGGAUGCAGCAGUGGGGAAUAUUGCACAAUGGGCGAAAGCCUGAUGCAGCCAUGCCGCGUGUAUGAAGAAGGCCCUAGGGUUGUAAAGUGCUUUCAGUCGGGAGGCGUUACCGACAGAAGAAGCACCGGCUAACUCCGUGCCAGCAGCCGCGGUAAUAC
rnacentral:rRNA from 1 species